GCAAACUUGGUCAUUUAGAGGAAGUAAAAGUCGUAACAAGGUUUCCGUAGGUGAACCUGCGGAAGGAUCAUUAACAAUUAUCCAUUUACAAAUAUGGAUGGUUAAAAUCCAUAUCCACCCUUCGUGUGCACAUCAUCGACAUGUUUGCUUUGGCAGUUUUGCGGGAAGAGAAGAGAGAGAGAGAGGAGUUUUUUCUUUUCUCCUUCUUUUUACUUUUUACCGACGCUGCCAGAGUUUUUCAUCUUUUUCACCUUGACAAACUUUUGCUUCCAGUGGAAGCAAGCCUUAGUAGAGAAAACAAUUCAGACUUUUCUUCUUCUUCUUUUUUCUUGGUUUUUCCAAAAAAAAGAAAGAAAAGAAAAAUGAAAUCGAAUACAACUUUCAACAACGGAUCUCUUGGCUCUCGCAUCGAUGAAGAACGCAGC
rnacentral:misc_RNA from 1 species